GAUGAAAAAACUUUGAUGGGCGCCUGGAGUCCAGCCAGAGGAAGUGAACUAACCUAUAGUACAUCUAAACAAAGCUAUCUGUAAAGAUCUUAUUAGCAGUGAAGACCAUAAAACUGAAGAGUCUGACUUGACGUGGGAUGGACAGGAUCAGUUAAGUUAGGACAUGGUCUGUACUACUUUUGUAAUCUGCACUCCUACUAUAGAAGGGCAGAUACAACCUACGACAAGAGCAAGUACCACUUGUAGGAUUCAUAGGACGACCAGAACUUCAACAGGACUGCAACAGUCACUCUCGACAAGACUAUGAUCAUCACUUCAACAGAACUGCGAUCAUCAUCCAGACCAACAGGUUUCUUUUCCUUUUACUUUACCUCCAGGGGGACCACAUGGUGGUCAGCACAGGGGUGGAUGAACACCAUUGUGUUAUUGUCCUGGGGUGCGGGGUUAUACAUCUGUCUUUGUGGGUUAAAACCAGUUUUCCCUGUAUCAUUGCCUUUAUUGUAAUUUUUUUUUUUAGUAAAUUGUAAGUCUGACUUGUAAUCUCUUGAGUUGGG